rnacentral:rRNA from 1 species
UACGGGGGGGGCAAGCGUUGUUCGGAAUUACUGGGCGUAAAGGGCGCGUAGGCGGCCUUCUAAGUCAGACGUGAAAUCCCUCGGCUCAACCGAGGAACUGCGUCUGAUACUGGAAGGCUUGAAUCCGGGAGAGGGAUGUGGAAUUCCAGGUGUAGCGGUGAAAUGCGUAGAUAUCUGGAGGAACACCGGUGGCGAAGGCGGCAUCCUGGCCCUGUCCUGACGCUCAGGGGCGAAAGCGUGGGGAGCAAACCGG